CUUACACAUGCAGUCGUACGAGAGUUUUUAACUCAAGUGGCGGACGGGUGAGUACACGUAAGAUUUGCCUUUAGGAGGGGGAUAACAACUGGAAACGGUUGCUAAUACCCCAUAUGCUUUCGAGUGAAACGGAUUUUCCGCCUAAAGAGAAGCUUGCGGCUGAUUAGCUUGUUGGUGAGGUAAGGGCUCACCAAGGCGACGAUCAGUAUCUGGUUUGAGAGGACGAUCAGACACACUGGAACUGAGACACGGUCCAGACUCCUACGGGAGGCAGCAGUGGGGAAUUUUCCGCAAUGGGCGAAAGCCUGACGGAGCAAUACCGCGUGAGGGAUGAAUGCCUAUGGGUUGUAAACCUCUUUUUUCAGGGAGGAACAAAAUGACGUGUACCUGAAGAAUAAGCAUCGGCUAACUCCGUGCCAGCAGCCGCGGUAAGACGGAGGAUGCAAGUGUUAUCCGGAAUCACUGGGCGUAAAGCGUCUGUAGGUGGUCAAAUAAGUCAACUGUUAAAUCUUGAGGCUUAANCUCGAAAUCGCAGUCGAAACUAUUAGACUAGAGUAUAGUAGGGGUAAAGGGAAUUUUCCAGUGGAGCGGUGAAAUGCGUAGAGAUUGGAAAGAACACCGAUGGCGAAGGCACUUUACUGGGCUAUUAC
rnacentral:rRNA from 1 species